UACGUAGGGUGCAGGCGUUAAUCGGAAUACUGGGCGUAAAGCGUGCGCAGGCGGUCUAUUAAGACAGGUGUGAAAUCCCCGGGCUUAACCUGGGAACUGCGCUUGUAACUGAUAGGCUGGAGUGUGGCAGAGGGGGGUGGAAUUCCACGUGUAGCAGUGAAAUGCGUAGAGAUGUGGAGGAACACCGAUGGCGAAGGCAGCCCCCCUGGGCUAACACUGACGCUCAUGCACGAAAGCGUGGGGAGCAAACAGG
rnacentral:rRNA from 1 species